GAUGAACGCUAGCGGCAGGCUUAACACAUGCAAGUCGAGGGGUAACAGGGAGUGCCUGCACUCUGCUGACGACCGGCGCACGGGUGCGUAACGCGUAUGCAACCUACCUUCUACAGGGGGAUAGUCCAGAGAAAUUUGGCAUAAUACCCCAUACGAUCAUUUAUUGGCAUCGAUAGAUGAGGAAAACUCCGGUGGUAGAAGAUGGGCAUGCGUCCUAUUAGUUAGUUGGUAAGGUAACGGCUUACCAAGACAUCGAUAGGUAGGGGUCCUGAGAGGGAGAUCCCCCACACUGGUACUGAGACACGGACCAGACUCCUACGGGAGGCAGCAGUGAGGAAUAUUGGACAAUGGAGGCAACUCUGAUCCAGCCAUGCCGCGUGCAGGAAGACGGCCCUACGGGUUGUAAACUGCUUUUAUACAGGAAGAAACGCCGCUACGUGUAGCGGUUUGACGGUACUGUACGAAUAAGGAUCGGCUAACUCCGUGCCAGCAGCCGCGGUAAUACGGAGGAUCCAAGCGUUAUCCGGAAUCAUUGGGUUUAAAGGGUCCGUAGGCGGUUUUUUAAGUCAGAGGUGAAAUCCUGCAGCUCAACUGUAGCAUUGCCUUUGAUACUGAAAGACUUGAGUUAUUGUGAAGUAGUUAGAAUGUGUAGUGUAGCGGUGAAAUGCAUAGAUAUUACACAGAAUACCGAUUGCGAAGGCAGAUUACUAACAAUAUACUGACGCUGAGGGACGAAAGCGUGGGUAGCGAACAGGAUUAGAUACCCUGGUAGUCCACGCCGUAAACGAUGGAUACUAGCUGUUCGACCAACAUUGGUUGGUUGAGUGGCUAAGCGAAAGUGAUAAGUAUCCCACCUGGGGAGUACGCUCGCAAGAGUGAAACUCAAAGGAAUUGACGGGGGCCCGCACAAGCGGUGGAGCAUGUGGUUUAAUUCGAUGAUACGCGAGGAACCUUACCAGGGCUUAAAUGUAAGUUGCAUAGAUCAGAGAUGGUCUUUUCUUCGGACUACUUACAAGGUGCUGCAUGGUUGUCGUCAGCUCGUGCCGUGAGGUGUCAGGUUAAGUCCUAUAACGAGCGCAACCCCUGUCGUUAGUUGCCAGCAAGUAAAGUUGGGCACUCUAGCGAGACUGCCGGUGCAAACCGCGAGGAAGGUGGGGAUGACGUCAAAUCAUCACGGCCCUUACGUCCUGGGCUACACACGUGCUACAAUGGCCGGUACAGAGAGCAGCCACUCCGCGAGGAGGAGCGAAUCUAUAAAACCGGUCUCAGUUCGGAUCGCAGUCUGCAACUCGACUGCGUGAAGCUGGAAUCGCUAGUAAUCGGAUAUCAGCCAUGAUCCGGUGAAUACGUUCCCGGGCCU
rnacentral:rRNA from 1 species